GAUGAACGCUAGCGGCAGGCCUAAUACAUGCAAGUCGGACGGGAUUUGGGAGCUUGCUCCCAAUGAGAGUGGCGCACGGGUGCGUAACACGUAUGUAACCUACCUUGUUCAGGGGGAUAGCCUCUCGAAAGAGAGAUUAAGACCGCAUAACAUUGCAACGUGGCAUCACAAAGCAAUCAAAUAUUUAUAGGAACAAGAUGGGGCAUGCGGGACAUAGCUAGCUGGUGAGGUAACGGCCACCAAGGCUACGAUGUUUA
rnacentral:rRNA from 1 species